CGGGGUUACAACGACCACCCCGUCAGGCGCAUGCCCAAGUGUCGG
rnacentral:ncRNA from 1 species